rnacentral:rRNA from 1 species
GACGGGGGAUGCAAGUGUUAUCCGGAAUCACUGGGCGUAAAGCGUCUGCAGGUGGUUUCCUAAGUCCACUGUUAAACCUUGAGGCUCAACCUCAAAUCUGCAUUGGAAACUAGGAGACUUGAGUAUAGUAGGGGUAGAGGGAAUUUCCGGUGGAGCGGUGAAAUGCGUAGAGAUCGGAAAGAACACCAACGGCGAAAGCACUCUGCUGGGCCGACACUGACACUGAGAGACGAAAGCUAGGGGAGCGAAUGGG